UACGUAGGGACCGAGCGUUGUCCGGAAUCAUUGGGCGUAAAGAGCGUGUAGGCGGCCACUUAAGUCCUGCGUGAAAUCUUGCGGCUCAACCGCAAGCGGUCGUGGGAAACUGGGUGGCUAGAGUGCGGGAGAGGAGAGUGGAAUUCCUGGUGUAGCGGUGGAAUGCGCAGAUAUCUGGAGGAACACCGGUGGCGAAGGCGGCGUCCUGGACCAACACUGACACUGAUGAGCGAAAGCCAGGGGAGCAAACGGG
rnacentral:rRNA from 1 species